UGUGUGCAAAACGGAGGUGAGUGCAAAUCAGAGGAGUACUGCUUCACCCUUCAAGGUAAGGGGGUGAGAAUCAAUUAGAGAAUUAGGGAUUAAAACAAUAUUUUUUGGAUCAUAUGAUAUUUGACUAAUCAAAACAUAUACUUAGAUUAAAACAAUGUUUUUUUUGGAACAUAUGAUAUGCUGAAAAUUCUUGAAGUUGAUUCUAAAUAGUUGUAAAGUUUGGGAUAUCUUUUAUAUUGUUUUAAUUCAUUCUCUUUGCAUAUCUCUAUAUAUAUGUGUGUAAAACUAAUAUGUAAAUUGUUAGAUUAUAUAACAGUAUAAUAUAAUAUUCAAUUACGAAUAAAU
rnacentral:lncRNA from 1 species